rnacentral:lncRNA from 1 species
GUUAGCUUUAAAAAAAAAAUGUGGAUAUUGUCUUUAAAUAUGAUUAAAAAAAUGGCAUAACAUUUGCAUCAUAUUCAAAUAUCACACGAAAUAAUUUUAAAAAAGUUUCCCUUUAUUUAAUUAACAGGGCAUAACAUGAAAUCAUUCACAAAUAUUCAAACGUGAUGAAAUCGUUCAUCACCUUAUUUGUGACGGAAUAAAACAAAAUGCAGUAAACUCUCUAGUUGCGUCCAUCUCUGAAAAGAACAAAAUAUUUCUAAGACUAAUAUCGGUACUGAAAAUCACUUUCGCACAAGAUCGAAAUCAUAUGGAACCUUGAGAAGUAGAGAGGAUCACCUCAAAAACAGUAUUGUCAGUGUAUGGUGUCUAAAACACAGGACUAGUCACCUGGUGAAGUACAGGUGACAUAAUUUUUAGAAUUCAGGAAGUUACUUGAUGGCAAAAUCUUGAAGAUAUAUAGAUUACAUUGGGAAGCCAGUCAGAACGUUCUCUUCCUUUUUUAAACCUCUUGCUACUGAACAAGGACCAAAAUUCUUAUGCAUAUAUGACAUGUUCUUGUAUUGCCUUCUUUAUAGAACUUAAUAAAUUUUAAAACAAA